AAUCUCAUCCACAGUGCAAGUGUGCGGAUUGCAGCGAAGACCUUUAAAUCCAAUAAGAGCUCCAACCAAGAGGAGGAGCAGCAGAGCCCAUUUCAGAGAAACUCCCGGCAGAGGCUGUCAUCUCGCUCAAUUCAGGAGAAAAUGGAACGACUGGCUCAAGCC